GUUUCAGCAGCCGCGGUAAGACGAACCGUGCAAACGUUAUUCGGAAUCACUGGGCAUAAAGGGCGCGUAGGCGGCUCGAAAAGUCAGGGGUGAAAUCCGGCAGCUUAACUGUCGCAGUGCCUUUGAUACUGUCGAGCUCGAGGGAGGUAGGGGUCUGUGGAACUUCCGGUGGAGCGGUGAAAUGCGUUGAUAUCGGAAGGAACGCCGGUGGCGAAAGCGACGGACUGGAUCUCUUCUGACGCUGAGGCGCGAAAGCCAGGGGAGCAAACGGGAUUAGAUACCCGCGUAGUCC
rnacentral:rRNA from 1 species